AAACCCAAACCCAUGUUAGGGAAAUUUUGCUUAUUUGUCCACCUCUAACCACAUUCUUGCCAAAUCAUCAUCAAAUAAUAUUAUUUCCAUUCCAUAUUUAGUUUUAUUGCCAUGUUGGAUGCAUGAGUUGGAUGCAAAUUCAAACUUUGAAGAAAAUAAAAGAGUAACUUUUGUCUUUGCCAAUUCAAAUAAUAAAUUUUUACCAUUUUA
rnacentral:lncRNA from 1 species